rnacentral:misc_RNA from 1 species
CCGAGUUUACAACUCCCAAAACCCCUGGUGAACAUACCUAUACGUUGCCUCGGCGGAUCAGCCCGCGCCCGUAAAAAGGGACGGCCCGCCCGAGGACCCCUAAACUCUGUUUUUAGUGGAACUUCUGAGUAAAACAAACAAAAUAAAUCA